GCUCGCAUGGCUUAGUUGGUAAAGCGCGUCACUAGUAUAAGUAACAAGAAGGUAUGACGAGAUCCUGUGUUCGAAUCACAGUGUGAGCA